AUGGUGAGGUGGCAUAGGAACAGAGAGAGAGGAAAAGCAUCUCUGUGGGAGAUCACACCACAUUAUGCUGAGAAGCUUGAGGAGGAAAAGGAAAGGGCUAGAUUCUGCAAACCUAUUCAAGCUGGUGUAAAUCUUUUGCAGGAGACCAGUGGGCAGCAAACACAUGAUGUAAACUUGGAAGUUUAUACAUGUGGCUGCAGAAAGUGGGACCUGUCUGGCAUACCAUGCAACCAUGCAAUAUCAGCAAUUAACAAGGCAAAAAAAUUUCCAAAGGACUAUGUGUGCAAUUUCUUCAAAAAACCUUUUUACCUUGCUCCAUAUGAACCAAUGAUAUAUGCAGUUCCUGGUGAACAUGAUUGGACAAGGACAAGUGGACCAGACGUAGAGCCACCCAAAUUUCAUGUGAAGAAGGGGAGAAGGAAAGAGAAGAGAAUAAAGGGCAGAUUUGAGGUUCCAAAACCAAAGGACAGUUCAAGAAUGGCCACUAUAACAUGCAGCAAUUGUGGGUUCCAAGGCCAUAGGUACACCAACUGCAAGCAACAGUUAAGACCAUAG
rnacentral:rRNA from 1 species